UACGAAGGGGGGCUAGCGUUGUUCGGAAUUACUGGGCGUAAAGCGCACGUAGGCGGACAUUUAAGUUGGAGGUGAAAGCCUUGGGCUCAACCCAAGAAUUGCCUUUGAUACUGGAUGUCUCGAGACCGGGAGAGGUGAGUGGAAUUCCGAGUGUAGAGGUGAAAUUCGUAGAUAUUCGGAAGAACACCUAUGGCGAAGGCAGCACUCUGGGGACGGUACUGACGCUGAGACGCGAAAGCGUGGGGAGCGAACAGG
rnacentral:rRNA from 1 species